AGCAGUAGCCGCGGGAAUACAGAGGGUGCAAGCGUUAAUCGGAAUUACUGGGCGUAAAGCGCGCGUAGGUGGUUUGUUAAGUUGGAUGUGAAAGCCCCGGGCUCAACCUGGGAACUGCAUCCAAAACUGGCAAGCUAGAGUACGGUAGAGGGUGGUGGAAUUUCCUGUGUAGCGGUGAAAUGCGUAGAUAUAGGAAGGAACACCAGUGGCGAAGGCGACCACCUGGACUGAUACUGACACUGAGGUGCGAAAGCGUGGGGAGCAAACAGGAUUAGAUACCCCAGUAGUCCCUGUCUCUUAUAC
rnacentral:rRNA from 1 species